AUGACUUAACCCUUCCUGUGUGGAGACAUUUCCCUUCACCAUUUUUAUGCCUGUGUUUGCCCAAGAUUUACCGCAUGCUUAUUCCUUCCAAGCUUUACUUCCUGAUAUGUAAACAUCUAGUUUGGGGAAGUCUGAGAAAAAUCCUUUUCUCUUUUUGGAAAUCUACCUCUCAAGACUAUCCAGUGUGGGCUUUAAAGUCUAGAUUGAAACUCGGAACCGAGCUGUGAAACUGCCUUCCCUUUUCUUUUUUCCAGAAAUUCGCUGCAUUACUCAGUGCUCAUCAUGAUCUCCUGAGUAUCACAGAUGAAGUUAAUCUAGAUUGAAGUCUUCCUCGAAACAUUCUUAUAGUUAUUAUAAAACAUCUUCCCAUAUCCCUUCAUUUCCCACUAGCCUGGAAAUGGUUUGAGAUCAGAGCUUUGUCUUACUCAUCUUUGUAAACAUCACUGGCCACUGUAUCUGGAACAUUCUAGUGUCUCCUGGGAAACAGUGGAACCUGCAUUGAACUAAGGUCUGUUUGACCAAAUUUCAUUUUCUUGUAUAUUCUGCUUCUCGGACAGAGAUAGAGGGGAAAGAACCCAACAUUUACAGAAUCUGAAGUGGAGGCCCAAGUCUCAAUGGUCAACUUCUUGGUAGAAAGCAGAUCUGAGGUCCUCAGGGAAAUACUUACAUUUUCUUCCUCCUGCAACUUCACAUGAACAUGGCUACCAACAGUUGUCCAAAGAUGGCCAAGGAGAGGGAAAACGAUUAGAAGGCUUGGCUCAGCUUUGGAGAGAAGGUGGUAAGAUCCAGCUGGAAAAGAUGAGGAUGUCUCCAGAGACAACUAUUUGGCAAAGUGAUAGUGAUCCCCAGUUCUGCCCCAAGACCAGAUACUGAACAGUCAUGGCAGAGGGUCCCUAUCUAGACAAUUUCUAUUCAAGAAUGAAAUGUCUUUUUAAGCAGAUUAGAGAAGAAACUCAUCCAACUGAAUAGCUAAGAGAGGGCACUCGGCUUUGGCCCAGGAAGACCCCUUUCUUAUUGCUCUGUUUUCACUCUUCUGGGAAGUGCAUUGCAUGACUUUCUUGGGGUGGAGGGCUCCAAAGUACAAAUGUGCACCCACAGCAGUUUCCAAGAUGUGCUUUUCUCCCUUUUUACUGUAACUCGAGAAAGUCAAUGCAUUUAGAAACUUGAGUGGUUUUCUUCAGACGUCCAAGUUACAUUUUUACUUCCUCAGUUCAGCUCUCAAACUCCUCAUCCUAGUUGACCAAGAACUUGUGAAAAAAAAUGGAGAAGGAAUAUCCUGAAUCAUUUACCUAGAACUUGGACAGGGUGUAAACAGGUCAAAGGCAAAGUAACUUCUAAGAAAUCAGAAAGAUGUGGGAGUACUGGAAUGAUGUCCUUCAAGGCCGUGAUGUUGACAGAUGGCAAGACUCGUUUGAUGGUGCGUGGAGACUGGGAUCACCAAUGAAAAUUUGCAUUAAAUACUGUAAGUUGACUUCUGUUCAUCUGUUACAUCUCAGAUCAUGUGUCACUUUUUCAACUAAGCUUUCCUUGACCUCCAAGAUCAAGUGAUGCAAUCCAUUCUCAUUCCACCUGACCUCAUUUCACCGUUCCCUUCCUGGUAUUCAAUUCCCAGCAGAGGACCUCUUUCUGCACUGAUGCAUGGUUUGAAGAAUCAUGGUGGGAAAUCCUUCAGCCUGAAGAAAGGCAGAAGAAGUUUGAGCAACACCCACCCAGAAGGCUUUUCUCCCCACCUUGGGAUGUCAGCAGGUUGGAAGGAAACCAAGGAUAUUAUUGGCCUCCAAAGUUAAGUGGAGGGUUAUCUGAUCCUCGAAGCCAGUGGUCUUUAACCUGAAGCAUCUAUACCUCUGAGGAUUUAUAAAUAUUUUCCCAAAAGAUACAUAAACUAAUUUGGUUUUAGAUCAUCAAUUACCAUAUGAAUUCUUCUAAUAUUUUUUUAACUGAGAAGUCUCCUGGAAUUUCUCCUUUUUAUGUCAUAGUCUCCUGUUUCCCAUGAAAAAUGAAAAAAAAAAAAACAAAAAACUUUUGCCCAUUGAGAAUCUUAUUAUGGUGUAUUGCACUCACAUGAAAAACUUCCAGGGCACCAAAUAAAAGGAUAAUCAAAACAUUAAAAAUAUUUUAUUAUGCUAGAUGAUUGUGUGAUAAUUCAGUUCUAAUAAUAACUUGAGUAACAAUGGUUAAAAAAGAAGCUUCCAUUUCUAUAUACUUAUUUCUGUGGACAAAUUGUCUAAGCAUUUGAUAUCUAUAAAGAUGGAUAAACAAACAAAAGGAAUAGAAUUGAUACCAAAUCCUCUUUCUCUCAUGUAAUUAGUCAUAAUCAUCCCCAGAAACAUAAACAGCUUCAUGGAUAUAUCUCAUUAAAAAAUACAUUUCCAAUAUGAUUCUAUUAUUUCUGCUUAAUAAAUAUUUAUCAAA